GGGACACGUGGUAUCCUGUCUGAAUAUGGGGGGACCAUCCUCCAAGGCUAAAUACUCCUGACUGACCGAUAGUGAACCAGUACCGUGAGGGAAAGGCGAAAAGAACCCCGGCGAGGGGAGUGAAAAAGAACCUGAAACCGUGUACGUACAAGCAGUGGGAGCACGCUUAGGCGUGUGACUGCGUACCUUUUGUAUAAUGGGUCAGCGACUUAUAUUCUGUAGCAAGGUUAACCGAAUAGGGGAGCCGAAGGGAAACCGAGUCUUAACUGGGCGUUAAGUUGCAGGGUAUAGACCCGAAACCCGGUGAUCUAGCCAUGGGCAGGUUGAAGGUUGGGUAACACUAACUGGAGGACCGAACCGACUAAUGUUGAAAAAUUAGCGGAUGACUUGUGGCUGGGGGUGAAAGGCCAAUCAAACCGGGAGAUAGCUGGUUCUCCCCGAAAGCUAUUUAGGUAGCGCCUCGUGAAUUCAUCUCCGGGGGUAGAGCACUGUUUCGGCAAGGGGGUCAUCCCGACUUACCAACCCGAUGCAAACUGCGAAUACCGGAGAAUGUUAUCACGGGAGACACACGGCGGGUGCUAACGUCCGUCGUGAAGAGGGAAACAACCCAGACCGCCAGCUAAGGUCCCAAAGUCAUGGUUAAGUGGGAAACGAUGUGGGAAGGCCCAGACAGCCAGGAUGUUGGCUUAGAAGCAGCCAUCAUUUAAAGAAAGCGUAAUAGCUCACUGGUCGAGUCGGCCUGCGCGGAAGAUGUAACGGGGCUAAACCAUGCACCGAAGCUGCGGCAGCGACGCUGAUGCGUUGUUGGGUAGGGGAGCGUUCUGUAAGCCUGCGAAGGUGUGCUGUGAGGCAUGCUGGAGGUAUCAG
rnacentral:rRNA from 1 species